AUAAGUAUAUGAUUGUAUGAAUAUUUAU
rnacentral:piRNA from 1 species